rfam:Thalassospira xiamenensis M-5 = DSM 17429, complete genome.
GCACCCGUAGCUCAGCUGGAUAGAGCGUUGCCCUCCGAAGGCAAAGGCCACAGGUUCGAAUCCUGUCGGGUGCG